rnacentral:rRNA from 1 species
GAUCCUGGCUCAGGAUGAACGCUGGCGGCGUGCAUAACACAUUCAAGUCGAACGAGGCAGCAAUGCCUAGUGGCGGACGGGUGAGUAACGCGUGAGCAACCUGCCCUUGCGUGGGGGGAUACCAUCUGGAAACGGGAUGUUAAUACCGCAUAAGUACAAGCGACCGCAUGGUCGUAGUACCAAAGAUUUAUUGCGCAAGGAUGGGCUCGCGUCCCAUUAGAUAGUUGGUGAGGUGACGG